AUGCCUAGAUCCAGCGGUGUGGGAUUUCGAAUCGGUUCCCCAGCCACCAUGGAGGAACGGAGGGGGAGAUUCCGGAACUUAACCACCCUUCGUCAAAGGGGGAGUGAGGUGGGUGGCCUGGCGCAAUUGUUUUGGACCAUGGCGGUCGGGAUGGGUUAUAAUGAUGCAGCACUGAAGGACUUUUUUAACAACUGUCUGGAUGACCCUUUACCUCAAUGGGAGAUGAAGGGGCUGGAGAUCCUAGACUUUUGGGGGUUUACCCAUUACCUGUGCCAUCGUGCUCAAUGGGAUACUUCGACCACACCUGUGUCUCCAGAGAAGAGGGCCGCCAGCCCAGCGCCACAGCACAAGAUGGCCACCAACCCAGCGCCACAGCACAAGAUGGCCGCCAGCCCGGCGCCACAGCACAAGAUGGCCGCCAGUUCAGCACCACAGCACGAGAUGACCACCAGCCCAGCACCACUGCACAGGAGGGUCGAAUCUACACCUGUGUUGGCAGACAAGAUGGUUGACUCAACACCUGAGUCUUCCGUCAAGGAGCCACCGGCACGUCAUCAUAGAGGCCGCAGGAGGAGGAGACAGGCGUCAGCCGUUCCUCAAAGCCCGGAGGACGUUCCCGAGCAGGCCGCUGCCGUCCAGGAGGACGUUCCCGAGGCGGUGCCCGAUGCCGAGGCCGUUCCCGAGGCGGUGCCCGAUGCCGUUCCGGAGGCCAUUCCCGAGGCGGUGCCCGAUGCCGAGGUCGUUCCCGAGGCGGGGUCCUUGUCCAAUGCCGUUCCUGAGGCCAUUCCUGAGGCCGUUCCCGAGGCGGUGCCCGACGCCGAGGCCGUUCCCGAGGCGGGGUCCUUGUCCAAUGCCGUUCCUGAGGCCAUUCCUGAGGCCGUGCCCGAUGCUGUUCCGGAGGCCGAUGCGGGGCCCGAGAUGGUUCCGGAGGCGAUACCCGUGUCCAAGGCCGUUCCCGAGGCGGUGCCCUUGUCUGAGGCCGUUCCCGAUGCCGUUCCCAAUGCCGUGACCUGGCCAUCGCCACAGCCUGCUCCUUACUGGCUCCCCGAUUGGCAGGUUCCGUUCGGGCCACUCAAAUGGCGAAUUCCUCCCUGGCCGUCUGCACAACGAGAAUGGACUGAUCCACCGUGGCCACCUGAACUGCCUGGGCCCUCGUGGUCCCCUGAACUUUCGGGUCCACCGUGGCCACCUGAACUGCCUGGUCCCUCGUGGUCCCCUGAACUUUCGGGUCCACCAUGGCCCCCUGAUCUGACCGAGCCACCUGGGCUACCAGGGGAGCCAUCACUGCCGGUCCCAGUUCCCCUACACGGGCCUGGCCCGCCAUCCCUCCCCCUGUUCUGCCUCCACCAGUCCACCUCCCUCCUGGUCUCUUUGUUUUUUGGUUAUUUUGUUCUGAGGAGCAUCUGGAAGCUGCUCCUUAGAGGGGGGGUAGUGUCACGGUGUCUGUUCUGUGUCUCCCUGGGUGGCCACUAGAGGUCUCACUUCCCCUUAUCGUCACCCCACUUUAGAACUGCAUUUCCCAUAGUCUUGUCUGUUUCAUCACUGCUCAUUGCACUCAGCUGUCCGUGGUUAUCAAUCAUUGCACUCAGCCAAUUCCCCGUUAGCAUUGUCAUUUCCCUGUCUAUAAAUACCCUGGUUGUUUCGGUCAUUGUCACGGAGUCCUUGUUGAAUGUCACCCUGGUUUGUUGUGGUUCUCGGAUGUUGUUUAUGUUUCUUGUUUCUGGACUGCUUACCUGGAUUGUGACCUUUGCCUGGCUGACCAUGAGAUUUGGAUUAUCCGAAUAAAACAUACUGCAAUUGGAUCUACCUGUUUGUGUGCGUGUCGUGACAUUUUCAGGACUGUUUGAUGGAUAGAAAUUUCAAAUGAACAGCAUUCAUUUGAAAUAUAAAUCUUUUAAAACAUUAAUGUCUUUACUGUCACAUUUGAUCAAUUAAAUGCAUCCUUGCAGAAUAAAAAUAUUCAUAUCUUUAAAAAAGAACUACUACUAUUCAUAUUUUCAUUGUUGCACUAGCUUCUUUUCAUGCAAGGUUAAAUUUAUGUUAGAUUAUAGUUUAUCAAAUGUAAUAUUCUCAUGUUAACAACAACAUCAUUUGUGCCUGAAAUGCUGUUAUAGAAGCCAUGGACAGCAGAGUGUGUGGUCCGAAAGUGAUCUUUGUGAAAUUAGUGAAGCACAUAUAGCUGAAGGCAUGAAGACCGGGUAUAUGACUGCAGGAGGAGAGGGCGGCAGAUGGCAUAUGGCUCCCCAGGCACGCGCACGCAUGAUGAGGAUGCCUGUUCACACUGAUGUGAGGGGACAAGCCAAUCACACCUGCUGGCACUGCGCCCAUCUCAUACAUACAGCACACAGACUCAAGGGACAGCCUGCGCCGCCUCUGCCAGCCCGUGCAUCAAAUAUCAUUUAAAGGAAAGUUGCUGUCAGCCACUUGUUGGGGUAUGACAUCAAUGCUAAUGCUAAUGUUAGCAUACAAGCCUGCUGAUUAGUGCCAUUAGUUCUUUCAGAUUUGUCACUGGUGACACAGUACCACAAACAGCAAAUGAAGGGCAGCAGGUGCCUGAAGUUACUGAUAUCCAAAGGGAAUACUUUUUGUUGUACACUUAGUUUGUCAAUAAGAUAAAUGGGGUCCAAAAUUAAAUGCAGUGCUAUGUUUGACAAACAAACAAACAAAUAAAUAAGUUAUUACAUGUAAUAGUUAUUAUUAUUAUCAUUAUUAUAGAGAUUUCAUACAAAGUGUCUUAAAAUGUAAGCUACAAGUAAACACUAUAAACCAAAGGAAAAUAAAAUGAAAAGCAACAAACCAAGAAUGAAAUAGACUACCAAAUACACAAACCAAAACAAAACAAGAGUGUAACACACUAUCUAAAUAAAAAGCAACAAACCAAGAAUUGACUACAAAACAAAACAAAACAAAACAAAACAAAAGCAAAAUCAAUAAACCAAGAGAUUAACACAAUACUACCACAUAUAGCAUUGAUUCUUUGUACAAUAAUAAUAAAGUAAAAUAAAGUACAAUAACAAUUAUAACGAUAACAAUACAAAACAAAUAAUCCAAAAACACUAUAGGCAAACUAACAUUUUUACACUUGCAGUACAGCCUGCUUCAUCCAAAAAUAUGAAUGUUUUUUUUUUUUUUUUUUUUUAUCAGUAUCCAGCCCUAUCAUUCUAAAAAACAUUUACAGUAGGAAAAACAAAUUCUGAUAACAAUGAAAUAGAAUUUUAUUUUAUUUUAUUUUAUUUUAUUUUAUUUCAACAACAGGCAUCUUGAACCUGAUCAUACCUAAAAAUACCCCAGUCCUCAGUUGUUUCACUUUCAAAAUCUAAACAUUUAAUAUUGUUCCUCAUUUCCCAUAAAAACUCUGCUUCAAGAGUAAUGCAACAGUUGUGUAGCACUUUGAGCAGUUAUAUCAGUUGAUAGUUAGAUCAUUGUAAAGAAAUAAAUAGACACUCAAUUCAGAUGCAAUGUGUGAGUUGCAUUUUGAAAUAGCAAGUAACAAAAAAAUCUUUGGUCCAGGUGUUUUGUAUCCAAGCAUUUGGAAAAAGUGUUUUGAAAAAUGUGCAUUGUGAUCCUUGGAUGUGUAUUAUGUGUCUAGCGUUUUGAAAAAUGACAUGAAGGUUCUUUUAUUAGCACAAAAAAUUAUUGUAAAAAUCUGUAAAAUGCAUCAAAAUAUACAAUAAAAGACAGUGUAUAAUGAAACAAUACAGACACCAAUGUACCUGUACAGAAUAUUCUAACACAUUACAGAAAAAUACAAAACACUUACAAAACAAAUAAAUGGACCUUUCCUCGACAUGUACUGACACAGAGAGCAAGAGACAGAAAAAGAGACUUUUUUAUUCACUUAUUCAGCAUCUGUCAAGAAAUAGUCAAACUAGUUUUUCACCAAAUAAUAGGCUAAUGCAGUAAUACAAAUGAAACCAAACAGCAAAUGUAAUAUCAUGUAACAAAACCUCAAGUAAGGCCCAAUAAUCCAACAAGCUUUUCCUUUAUGAAAUAAAACUCUUUUUGCAGUUACACUAAUAACAUACUCCAAAACAAUUAGCAUAAUUUACAGCCAUAUGGUUUAUUAUCUCCUGGGUCAGCAUAUGGAGAACAAAAUGGGGGAAGCUUCAACACAAAUUUAAACAAAAACAGCUCCUCUCUCACCGUCUGCCUGCCAAACUCAAGCUGCUACAGGGGAUAAUGCUUCUGCUGUACACAUGACGCAAUUAUCAACAGCGCUAAUGAAAACACUGAAUCAUUUCAUAUCCUAUUAUAGACUGGAUUCCAUAUAAAUAACCUAAACAAACACCUCAUACAUACAUUUGUAUCUCCUGCUGGGUGGUUUUGUGAGCGUCUAGUCGAGAAAAACAAUGAAAUUGUGUCCAAAACCCAUUUAUCUUUCUUGAAAUUCAAAUAAAUGAGGAAUAAAUAAAUAGUGUUCAGCAUUCAGUGAUACAGCUGGACUGAUAUUAAUCUGAAACUGUCACUCUGACAGACACAAGUAACAAUUUUCCACAAUUCAUUACGCCACCCGUGAGCCCAUAUAUGUCAACUCAAUGAGAGGCUGCAUCUCCAUGAAACACACACACACACACACACACACACACACACACACACACACACACACACACACACACACACACACACACACACACACUAUGGUAAAGACAGAAGGAGGGGGUCUGAAGUAUAUAUGUAGCCACCAUAUACAGUAUAGAGGUAAAUUAACUGUAGUCCUGUCACAUUGCGAGACUACACAAUGCCAUGGGGACAGCAGGGCACCGUAAUGUUGGAAAAAUUGCCCCUUGGCCAUGGAAACAUUGUUUUGAAUCAUGGUUGGGCUGGAUAUAAUACAGAUGGGUGGAAAUAAUGGAAUGAUGAACACAAACAAAAAGAACAGGUUUAAAGCACAAAAAACAUGAAAGUACUAAAAAUGCUUCAGGAACGUGGCAUGACAUCAGGCCAACCUGCAGUUCCAAUUUCACUCAGUCCAACAUGAAUAGGAAGAAAUAAAAUAAAACGCCUCUUUUUUUCAUAUUAAAUACACAAAAUACUAUCAUCACAAUACAAAAUAGCUUGUGAAAAAGAUGUUCCUCCUAAAAAUCAGGGCCCGUAUUCACAAUACACCUUAAAGGGAUACUCCAUCCCAAAAUGAUUCACUUACCCCAAUGUCAUUCCAAACCCGUAAAAGCUUUGUUCAUUUUCGGAACACAAUUUAAGAUAUUUUGGAUGAAAACAGGGAGGCUUGAGACUGUCCCAUAGACUGCCAAAUAAAUAUCAGUGUCAAGGUCCGGGAAAGUAUGAAAAGCAUCUUCAGAAUGCUCCAUCUGUCAUCAGUGAUUCAACCGUAAUGUUAUGAAGCAACAAUAAUACUUUUUGUACACGAAGAAAACAAAAAUAGCAACUUUAUUCAACAAUUCCUCUCCUCUGUGUCUCUCCAAAUCAGCGUAGCGCCAUUUUGACAAAUCUGUCUGUAUGCAAGCGGCUUACACUCCUCUGUGUCAGCCGUGCUACAAGGAUACAUUUUUAAGUGUAUUUACGCUUUGGUUUGAAAGCAAACAGAGUAUCGGUGCAGCGCGGCUGAUACAGAAGAGCGUACGCCAUCUGCGUACAGCUCAGAAUUGCCAAAAUGGCGCUAGGCUGAUUUGGAGAGACAUUAAAAAUUAUGUCAGUCCUAAAUUUAGGACUGCUAAUUUUUUCCUAUAAGCAUGUUUUACAAAGCGUCUUAGUACUAAAACCAGCUCCUAAAUCUGUGAAACGUUAGGAAUAGUGAAGAGGACUUCUAAGUCACUAAGAUCAAACCACAAAGUAUCCGAAAAAGGCUGUUGGCAAUCUGCCUCGAAACGUAAACAUUUUAGAAACAUUUGAUGAUAAUGAGCUUUUAAAAAGGUAUCGCCUGUGGAUUUGGAGGUUACCCCUAAUCCACAUUUUCCUUUGAUUAUAUCCUUGUUUUCAUUAGCCAGUUGGGCAAGAAGUAACAGCUCUUCUUGCAUCCAGUUUGGUUUUCUUUUACAUUUGAAUGUCUUACUAUCAGCCAUGAUCAUUAUACUAUGUUAAUUAAAAGGCUAUUCAUAUGCAUAUUCACUAAUUGUUUAUGAGAAGCAUACAUGCAAGAGGCAGACAAUUAGCUGAACAUAUACUUGUUUAAUUAAUGACAAUUUGACUGCACUUUUAAAAUCUUAAUUUGAAUGUGGCAAUUAAGUUUUAUUUUUAAACCUUUAUUUGAAUAUGACAACAUAAUAUUGCGCUCUUCGACAUUUCUAUGAAUAAAUCUCAGAAAGAGACUAUCAGCCAAUCACUGUGUGCAUAGUUAGUAAGUAUGCUGACAUCAUCCAUAGCAACGAGGUCAGCCCCACCCUUACUCUGAGCUUAAGACUUCUCUCUAUUCCUUAGAAAAAGUUUGUCUCAGCAGCUUUAUGAAUAGGUUUUAAGUAAAUACUUUUACUGCUUUUUAGAAGAACUCCAG
ensembl:lncRNA